CAGCCGCCACGGUAAUACGUAGGGUGCGAGCGUUAAUCGGAAUUACUGGGCGUAAAGCGUGCGCAGGCGGUUUUGUAAGUCUGUCGUGAAAUCCCCGGGCUCAACCUGGGAAUGGCGAUGGAGACUGCAAGGCUAGAAUCUGGCAGAGGGGGGUAGAAUUCCACGUGUAGCGGUGAAAUGCGUAGAUAUGUGGAGGAACACCGAUGGCGAAGGCAGCCCCAUGGGCUAAGAUUGACGCUCAUGCACGAAAGCGUGGGGAGCAAACAGGAUUAGAUACCCCCGUAGUCCCUGUCUCUUAUAC
rnacentral:rRNA from 1 species